GUCGACGGCCAUGCCACCCUGAGCGUGCCCGAUCCCGGCUGAUCUCGGAAGCUGAGCAGGGUUGGGCCUGGUUAGUACUUGGGAUGGGAGACCACCGUGGAAGACCAGGUGCUGUAGUUG
rnacentral:rRNA from 1 species